rnacentral:tRNA from 1 species
GGGAUUGUGGCUCAGCGGUAGAGCACUCGCCUUGCCCGUGUGAGACCCUGGGUUCCAUCCUCAGCACCA